rnacentral:rRNA from 1 species
CGUGUGGUUCUAUUUUGUUGGUUUCUAGGACCGCCGUAAUGAUUAAUAGGGAUAGUCGGGGGCAUCAGUAUUCCGUUGUCAGAGUGAAAUUCUUGGAUUUACGGAAGACUAACUACUGCGAAAGCAUUUGCCAAGGAUGUUUUCAUUAAUCAGUGAACGAAAGUUAGGGGAUCGAAGACGAUCAGAUACCGUCUAGUCUUAACCAUAAACUAUGCCGACUAGGGAUCGGGCGAUGUUAUUUUUUGACUCGCUCGGCACCUUACGAGAAAUCAAAGUUUUUGGGUUCUGGGGGGAGUAUGGUCGCAUGGCUGAAACUUAAAGAAAUUGACGGAAGGGCACCACCAGGAGUGGAGCCUGCGGCUUAAUUUGACUCAACACGGGGAAACUCACCAGGUCCAGACACAAUAAGGAUUGACAGAUUGAGAGCUCUUUCUUGAUUUUGUGGGUGGUGGUGCAUGGCCGUUCUUAGUUGGUGGAGUGAUUUGUCUGCUUAAUUGCGGUAACGAACGAGACCUUAACCUGCUAAAUAGCCCGGCUAGCUUUGGCUGGUCGCUGGCUUCUUAGAGGGACUAUCGGCUCAAGCCGAUGGAAGUUUGAGGCAAUAACAGGUCUGUGAUGCCCUUAGAUGUUCUGGGCCGCACGCGCGCUACACUGACAGAGCCAGCGAGUACUCCCUUGGCCGGAAGGUCCGGGUAAUCUUGUUAAACUCUGUCGUGC